CCUACGGGAGGCUGCAGUGAGGAAUAUUGGUCAAUGGACGAGAGUCUGAACCAGCCAAGUAGCGUGAAUGAUGACUGCCCUAUGGGUUGUAAACUUCUUUUAUAUGGGAAUAAAAUGUUCCACGUGUGGGAUUUUGUAUGUACCAUAUGAAUAAGGAACGGCUAACUCCGUUCCAGCAGCCGCGGUAAUACGGAGGAUCCGAGCGUUAUCCGGAUUUAUUGGGUUUAAAGGGAGCGUAGGUGGAUUGUUAAGUCAGUUGUGAAAGUUUGCGGCUCAACCGUAAAAUUGCAGUUGAAACUGGCAGGCUUGAGUACAGUAGAGGUGGGCGGAAUUCGUGGUGUAGCGGUGAAAUGCUUAGAUAUCACGAAGAACUCCGAUUGCGAAGGCAGCUCACUGGACUGCAACUGACACUGAGGCUCGAAAGUGUGGGUAUCAAACAGGAUUAGAUACCCGUGUAGUC
rnacentral:rRNA from 1 species